rnacentral:tRNA from 1 species
GCCUCUAUAGCUCAGCGGUAGAGUACUACCUUGGUAAGGUAGGGGUCCCGAGUUCAAGUCUCGGUAGAGGCU